GGCUCCGCGCGCGCGGGCCAUGUCCGCCUUUUGCCUGGGCUUGGCCGGCCGCGCUUCAGCACCCGCCGAGCCGGACAGCGCCUGCUGCAUGGAGCUGCCMGCCGCGGCCGGGGACGCAGUCCGGAGCCCCGCCGCCGCCACCGCCGCCGCCCUCGUCUCCUUCCCCGGGGGCCCUGGGGAGCUGGAACUGGCUUUAGAGGAGGAGCUGGCGCUGCUGGCGACCGGGGAGCGGCCCUCCGACCCCGGGGAGCAUCCUCAGGCCGAGCCCGGGCCUCCUGCCGAGGGGGCCGGACCACAGCCGCCGCUUGCCCAGGACCCUGAGCUGCUGUCGGUGAUACGGCAGAAGGAGAAGGAUCUGGUGUUGGCGGCUCGUCUGGGCAAGGCACUGCUCGAGAGGAACCAGGACAUGAGCCGGCAGUAUGAGCAGAUGCACAAGGAGCUGACGGACAAGCUGGAGCACUUAGAACAAGAGAAACAUGAACUGAGAAGACGGUUUGAGAACCGAGAAGGGGAGUGGGAAGGGCGAGUGUCAGAGCUGGAGAGUGAUGUGAAACAGCUACAGGAUGAGUUGGAGAGGCAACAAGUUCAUCUUCGGGAAGCAGAUCGAGAAAAAACACGGGCUGUCCAGGAGCUAUCAGAGCAGAACCAAAGGUUAUUGGAUCAACUCAGCAGGGCAUCAGAAGUUGAGCGGCAACUCUCCAUGCAGGUCCACGCCCUCAGAGAAGACUUUCGGGAGAAAAACUCGUCAACCAACCAGCACAUCAUCCGGCUGGAGAGCCUGCAGGCCGAGCAGGUUCUUGAAAUCAAGAUGCUGUCAGAUCGGAAACGAGAGCUGGAGCAUCGUCUCAGUGCCACCUUAGAGGAAAAUGACCUGCUACAAGGGACUGUGGAGGAGCUACAGGACCGGGUGCUGAUCCUGGAGAGGCAGGGCCAUGACAAAGACCUGCAGCUGCACCAAAGCCAGCUGGAGCUGCAGGAGGUGCGGCUCUCCUACCGACAGCUGCAGGUGAAGGUGGAGGAGCUCACUGAGGAGAGGAGUCUGCAGAGCUCUGCGGCCACCAGYGCAUCCCUCCUGUCGGAGAUCGAGCAGAGCAUGGAGGCUGAGGAGCUGGAGCAGGAGAGAGAGCAGUUGAGACUGCAGCUCUGGGAGGCCUACUGCCAGGUUCGCUAUCUGUGCUCACACCUUCGAGGAAAUGACAGCGCUGACUCGGCUGUGUCCACGGACUCCUCCAUGGACGAGUCUUCAGAAACGUCGUCUGCCAAGGAUGUGCCAGCUGGCAGCUUGCGCACGGCCCUCAAUGAGCUCAAGAGGCUGAUACAGAGCAUCGUGGAUGGCAUGGAGCCCACGAGCUCCAGGAGAAUUGAUGAGGACUCUUUAGAAGAACAGAUAAGGCAGACCAGCGAGGACUCAAGAGCCCUGAGGGAGCUCAUGGAGGGGGAGAGGGGUAAACUGAGGCAGAGCCUAGAAGAGCUGCAGCAACUCCACAGUCAGGUGACACUACUGAGUGUGGAGAUGACUGCACUGAAAGAGGAGAGGGACCGACUCAGAGUGACAUCUGAGGACAAGGAGCCAAAGGAGCAGCUUCAGAAAGCCAUCAGGGACCGGGAUGAGGCCAUUGCAAAGAAGAAUGCCGUGGAGCUGGAACUUGCCAAGUGCAGGAUGGACAUGAUGUCUCUGAACAGCCAGCUGCUGGACGCCAUUCAGCAGAAACUGAACCUCUCCCAGCAGCUUGAGGCCUGGCAGUUUGCUUCCUCAGGGCUUUUUACUAUCUGGCUCCUUUGGUUUCUGAUCUAGUGGCCUUUCUCAGUUCCCGUAUCAACAGCUUUAGUUGUACACCCCUCCUGCCUUUGAGGAUGACAUGCACAGGGUCAUUGACCGGCAACUGAUGGACACGCACCUGAAGGAACGGAGCCAGCCUGCUGCUGCCGUCUCCAGGGGCCACGGUGCAGGGCGGGGCGAUGAGCCCGGCACCACUGAAGGCAAACGGCUCUUCUCAUUCUUCAGGAAAAUUUAAGUUGGGAGGAGUCGGCCACGGAGGACAGGCAGACUGGAAGCAGCUAGAAGGCAGUGUGAGCAAGGGCCUCCCCUGUGGCCUAGGGGAGCUGCACUGCCCGCCCACACUGGGGCCCAAUAGGUCCCAGAGAACCCACUCCCUUUUGUCAGUGUGGAUAGACCAAGAGGCAGGGGCCUCUUGGCCUCUGAAAGCUGCUCUAGCCAAGCCCAAGCCUGGGCUCCCAGGAUCCCAUUAUCGAGCAGGGGUCAGGCCACCUUCCAGAGCAGCCUGUGGGUUGGGCUCUGCUGCUCAGACCCACUUGUUCUCAGCCCACCUGGCAGGCACUGCUGCCUCCGCAAUUUUAGAUAAUGGGCAACAGAAGAAACGGAGGCCCUCAUCUGCAUGCCUUGGAAGGCGUGAGCCUCGGGGGCCUGCCUAGUUCUGCAGAGCAGCAGGCCCAGCCUACGCCUCCAUUCCUGCCCCAGCCACUGGCCCAGAGUAAGGGGAGGUGCGGCCCCUUACCCAUGUGCAUGCACCUCUGCUGGGGCCCCUCUGCAGGCAGGAGGCCCAGCCUUCGGCCAAGGAGCCUAAGAGCUGGGGUGUACCCAAGCUCAGCUGAGGCCAUCCUAAGCCCCAGGGAGGAAGGAGGGCCCUGCCCCCUGGCCACCCCCAACUCUCCUCCCCAGCCUUCUCCAGAGUAGUCCUUUACCCUUAGCGAGGCCUGGGCCAGAUGGCGUUCUCACUGGUUGGCGACAGGCAUCAAUUAGUGGUCCAGUCCUCUCUUCGUGGAAGGCCCAGGGCUGAGAGGGCUCAUCUUGUUUCCACAGCCCCCUGCCCCUCAAAUAUAAUUUCUUGGCCCAGUUGAGCAAGUCCUGGCCACAGAAUGUCCUCACAGGGGUAUGGCCAGCCACCCCCUCCUCCAAGGCAGCACUGACACCAUGGGUGUAAGAGAGGCUACUGGGAGCCUCCACAUACUGUCCACCGGGCCUGCAGAGGGCCAGGGCCUAACCCUGCUGCUUCUGCUCCUUCCACAGCAGCCACCCUACUGUCUCUGUUGAGGCCCUAACUCGAGGCUCUUCAGGCCCAGCCUGCCCUCAGCUGCUUACCACUGAUUCAGUCUCCCUCGCUCCAGGGGAAAAGCACAGCAGGGAUGAGCAGAAAGAAUGUACCUAUAGAUAUGUACAUACCACAGUGCUGUAAUUUUGUAUGUAGCAAACGUGUAAAUACAUGUAUGGAUUUUAUAAUAUACAUAUAUAUAAAUCUAUAAAGGCAUAUUUUUAGAAAAACCGCACCACUGCUUCUUUUGAAAAUAGUCUGAAUAAGAAUAAAACAAAUUUCUACAGAG